AAGUCGUAACAAGGUUUCCGUAGGUGAACCUGCGGAAGGAUCAUUACCUUUCAUUGCAGCAGAAUUGGGAUGGUUGAGUAUCUCGCCUCUCCGUUCUGCCUGUAUUCUACCCUUGUUUGUCAUAUACUAUUAUUUCCUCGGCAGGCUUGCCUGCCGAGUGAAACCAUUUAUAACCUUUUUAAUUUUCAAUCAGCGUCUGAAAAAAACUAAUAAUUACAACUUUCAACAACGGAUCUCUUGGUUCUG
rnacentral:misc_RNA from 1 species